rnacentral:lncRNA from 1 species
CCAGGAUCCAAAGACUAAAUUUCAUUAAACUAAGGUCCUUGUGAGAGCCCUUCUUUGUCUUCUGUCUCAAAGCUUGCUUCCUGAGGUAUUCCUUGUGAUAAGACUCUUAACUGAUUUAUGGAGGUGGCAAAUGAUGGGUGCUACCGUGUGACAAUCAACAUCACUUUGACAUUUGAAAGCACCUUCCUCCAGAGCUGCUUGCCUCCGGAAGAGAGUGCUCAGGAGUGGUUACUGGCGGAAGAUCUGGCCUAAUAGCCCCAGCUUGGUGUGGGAAAACUGGGGAACAAUACCAUCGUGCCCUGUGAGAAACAGGAUGCAGAUGGGCAUCCCUGCUUCCUCUUAUCUGUUGGCAAGGCCCGGAAGAUGAUAACAAAGGAAUUUCUGCUGAGAUCCCAGAGCCAGUAGCUGCCACUCCAAGGAGAGCUGACUCAACCAAUUUGGACUUACAAAUAAGUUUGUACUGCCAUCGUUGUCGUGUUCGCUGCUGUGGUCACCACUGUCAACAAAAGACUCGACGACCCACCACUACUGAAAAUCAAUGACUGAACUACGAACCACGUUGGACUAUGGUGAAAGUGAAAAGCAGCAAGUGAAACAAUGCAUUGUACAAAAGAAGCUACUGAGACAAACAUUUAAGAUCUUAUCAAACACAGAUCUAAGGCUUAUUCUCGGUGAUGCAUUGAGACUACAAGCAGUGACAGAGACUGAACUAGGCUGACCACUGUUCUGGAGCCUACAGUGAGGAUCCACAGCAAAGAUGUGGAGCUUGCAAAUCACAUGGACACAGAGAGACUUCUGUGAGAAAUUGAACAGAUCAGUCAAAUUCCAGAGAUUAUGGAAAGAGUCUUAAUACAGAGAGGGGAAAAAAAAAAAAAAGGUACCAAAACAAACAAACAAGCGAACAAACAAGAAAAACAAACAAACAAACAAACAACAACAACAGCAACAAAACAAUUCAGUGCCUGAAAUCAGUCAAAAGGGGCAGAUUGUGUAUAGUGCUUGUAAAAAUGCUUGUAAAAGUCUUAUAUGGCCACUGCAAUAUUUCUUCAUUAAAAAAAGAAAUACUAUUGUUCAUAUUCUAAUAAGGAAUGGUGAUUUUUGAUUUAAAAUCUCUGUUAGUCAUUUAUGGGGAGCCAA